GACGAACGCUGGCGGCGUGCUUAACACAUGCAAGUCGAACGGAAAGGCCCUGCUUUUGUGGGGUGCUCGAGUGGCGAACGGGUGAGUAACACGUGGGUAACCUGCCCUUGACUUUGGGAUAACUUCAGGAAACUGGGGCUAAUACCGGAUAGGAGCUCCUGCUGCAUGGUGGGGGUUGGAAAGUUUCGGCGGUUGGGGAUGGACUCGCGGCUUAUCAGCUUGUUGGUGGGUAGUGGCUUACCAAGGCUUUGACGGGUAGCCGGCCUGAGAGGGUGACCGGCCACAUUGGGACUGAGAGACGGCCCAGACUCCUACGGGAGGCAGCAGUGGGGAAUAUUGCACAAUGGGCGGAAGCCUGAUGCAGCAACGCCGCGUGCGGGAUGACGGCCUUCGGGUUGUAAACCGAUUUCGCCUGUGACGAAGCGUGAGUGACGGUAAUGGGUAAAGAAGCACCGGCUAACUACGUG
rnacentral:rRNA from 1 species